CUGCGCACUCCUUACGGGGGCAGCAGUGGGGAAUAUUGCACAAUGGGCGCAAGCCUGAUGCAGCCAUGCCGCGUGUAUGAAGAAGGCCUUCGGGUUGUAAAGUACUUUCAGCAGUGAGGAAGGUGGGUAUGUUAAUAGCAUACUCAUUUGACGUUUAGCUGCAGAAGAAGCACCGGCUAACUCCGUGCCAGCAGCCGCGGUAAUACGGAGGGUGCGAGCGUUAAUCGGAAUUACUGGGCGUAAAGCGCAUGCAGGUGGUUUGUUAAGUCAGAUGUGAAAGCCCGGGGCUCAACCUCGGAAUUGCAUUUGAAACUGGCAAACUAGAGUACUGUAGAGGGGGUAGAAUUUCAGGUGUAGCGGUGAAAUGCGUAGAGAUCUGAAGGAAUACCGGUGGCGAAGGCGGCCCCCUGGACAGAUACUGACACUCAGAUGCGAAAGCGUGGGGAGCAAACAGGAUUAGAUACCCUGGUAG
rnacentral:rRNA from 1 species